AAAGGACCGGCGUCCAAAUAAUGCCUCGCGCUAUUCCCUGUACGUCAAGCUGUGACCCGCAAGGGUAGCCUCGGAGCCUUUGCUCCUGCAGGAGUACGUGCACGGAAACUGUGGGGGU
rnacentral:sRNA from 12 species